GGAGCAGGACAAAUGACCGCUGCUUUGCCUUAAAAGCAAAGGAGAGGAAAGUCCGGGCUCCACAGGACAGGGUGCUGGGUAACGCCCAGUCUUGGCGACAAGAAGGACAGUGCCACAGAAAGGAUACCGCCCCGCCAUGUGCGGGGUAAGGGUGCAAUGGCGAGGUAAGAGCUCACCAGUCCCGUUGGUGACAACGGGAGAUAGGUAAACCCCAUCCGGAGCAAGACCAAAUAGGGGGGCGCUUGAGGGCGGUCCGUCCGAGUCCCCGGGUCGGUCGCUCGAUCCUGCCGGUAACGGCAGGACUAGAGGAAUGGUCAUUGUCCCGGUACUCCGUGAGGAGAUCGGGAAACAAAACCCGGCUUACGGCCUGCUCCAACA
rnacentral:RNase_P_RNA from 1 species